rnacentral:rRNA from 1 species
AUUGAACGCUGGCGGUAUGCUUAACACAUGCAAGUCGAACGAGUGGCGGACGGGUGAGUAAUGCAUAGGAAUCUACCUUUUAGUCUAGGAUAACUACGGGAAACUGUAGCUAAUACCGCGUACCAUAGGAUGAGCCCAAGUGGGAUUAGGUAGUUGGUGAGGUAAAGGCUCACCAAGCCGACGAUCUCUAGCUGGUCUGAGAGGAUGACCAGCCACACUGGGACUGAGACACGGCCCAGACUCCUACGGGAGGCAGCAGUGGGGAAUAUUGCGCAAUGGGGGCAACCUGACGCAGCCAUGCCGCGUGAAUGAAGAAGGCCUUCGGGUUGUAAAGUUCUUUCGGUAGCGAGGCGUUAACUACAGAAGAAGCACCGGCUAACUCCGUGCCAGCAGCCGCGGUAAUAC